AGUGGCAGACGGGUGAGUAAUGUAUAGGAAUCUACCUAGUAGUACGGAAUAAUUGUUGGAAACGGCAACUAAUACCGUAUACGCCCUACGGGGGAAAGAUUUAUCGCUAUUAGAUGAGCCUAUAUUAGAUUAGCUAGUUGGUAAGGUAAUGGCUUACCAAGGCAAUGAUCUAUAGCUGAUCUGAGAGGAUGAUCAGCCACACUGGAACUGAGAUACGGUCCAGACUCCUACGGGAGGCAGCAGUGGGGAAUAUUGGACAAUGGGCGAAAGCCUGAUCCAGCCAUGCCGCAUGAGUGAAGAAGGCCUUUGGGUUGUAAAGCUCUUUCGGUGAGGAAGAUAAUGACGGUACUCACAGAAGAAGUCCUGGCUAACUCCGUGCCAGCAGCCGCGGUAAUACGGAGAGGGCUAGCGUUAUUCGGAAUUAUUGGGCGUAAAGAGCGCGUAGGCUGGUUAGUAAGUUAAAAGUGAAAUCCCAAAGCUCAACUUUGGAAUUGCUUUUAAAACUGCUAACCUAGAGAUUGAAAGAGGAUAGAGGAAUUCCUAGUGUAGAGGUGAANUUCGUAAAUAUUAGGAGGAACACCAGNGGCG
rnacentral:rRNA from 1 species